rnacentral:rRNA from 1 species
AGCGAACGCUGGCGGCAGGCCUAACACAUGCAAGUCGAACGAAGCCUUCGGGCUUAGUGGCGGACGGGUGAGUAACACGUGGGAACGUACCUUUUGGUUCGGAACAACUCAGGGAAACUUGAGCUAAUACCGGAUGAGCCCUUAGGGGGAAAGAUUUAUCGCCGAAAGAGCGGCCCGCGUUAGAUUAGCUAGUUGGUGAGGUAAAGGCUCACCAAGGCUACGAUCUAUAGCUGGUCUGAGAGGAUGAUCAGCCACACUGGGACUGAGACGCGGCCCAGACUCCUACGGGAGGCAGCAGUGGGGAAUCUUGCGCAAUGGGCGAAAGCCUGACGCAGCCAUGCCGCGUGAAUGAUGAAGGUCUUAGGAUUGUAAAUUUCUUUUACCAGGGACGAUAAUGACGGUACCUGGAGAAAAAGCCCCGGCUAACUUCGUGCCAGCAGCCGCAGUAAGAC